rnacentral:rRNA from 1 species
GUGCCAGCAGCCGCGGUAAUACGGAGGAUCCAAGCGUUAUCCGGAAUCAUUGGGUUUAAAGGGUCCGUAGGCGGGCAGUUAAGUCAGUGGUGAAAGUCUUCCGCUCAACGGGAGAACUGCCAUUGAUACUGAUUGUCUUGAGUUAUUAUGAAGUGGUUAGAAUGAGUAGUGUAGCGGUGAAAUGCAUAGAUAUUACUCAGAAUACCGAUUGCGAAGGCAGAUCACUAAUAAUAUACUGACGCUGAUGGACGAAAGCGUAGGUAGCGAACAGGAUUAGAUACCCUGGUAGUCUACGCCGUAAACGAUGGUUACUAGCUGUUCGGCCCGAUUAAGGGCUGAGUGGUUAAGCGAAAGUGAUAAGUAAACCCACCUGGGGGAGUACGUUCGCAAGAAUGAAAACUCAAAGGAAUUGACGG